rnacentral:tRNA from 4 species
GGAGCGAUGGCUGAGUGGUUUAAGGCGGCAGUCUUGAAAACUGUUGUGCGUUAGCGUACCGGGGGUUCGAAUCCCUCUCGCUCCGCCA